CCGAACCGUCAGUCAGCCGUGCUUCGUCGUAGGGAUGAGAUCGCAACGAGGAAUGACGUUGCACGUUUCGACAUUCGCGCGUCGACGGUGACACGAUAUAAAAACUACACGCGGCUCGCUUUACGUAUACAUUAGAUGUCACGUUCGUGUAUCCAGUUCCGUGGCGAGUAAUCGUGUAAUCAAUCCCGUUUGGCGGUACCGAGAGGAGGCGUGUUUCCCAGGCUGUGCAACUGUGCGGUGUUCUAUCCCCGUUUCUCCAUCUUCCGCAUUCCUCGCUUCGAUUGGAGUAUCUCUCUGUGCACGACGAGAGCGUGUAUCGACGACGGCUCCACGACGACGGAGAAGACCAGUGGUACGCGCAGAACAGUUCGAUUCGAUUGAAGGAAAGCCAACAAGGAACACCAGCUGAAAUCAUCCGGAGGAUGAGCUAAAACGGAGAACGAAAUAGAGAAGAGCGGAACGGACGAGUCAUCGACGAAUUUUCCUAGGUAUGCAGCCAGCAGGGAGGAUGCAACGGUCGAUGACGUGAAUCGACCGACUUUUCGGUCGAUAACUGCCCGCCACGAUUGGCAGCCUCUGAAUGGCUGGCCAACCGUCCCGUUCUCACUUCUGUCGGUGGACUGUUGUGCCCCGGUACCGGAUAACCGGCCUAUAAGUGCGUUUCCUCCGAACGAAUAAUCCUUUAUUCCGUUCGUGAUAUCCCAUUUCUCUGUAUUACCAAAUGCUGUUCGUGUACGGUUGAAGUGAUCCCCUUGACCGUCUCCGAGUUUCUUCGAGCCGCUCCCCGCUCCGCGCGAUCGUUGGAACGAGCAGUCCCCCCCACCACCGCGCCACGAGUUUCGAGAGGAGUGGGGGAAGAGGCGAGCAGAAAGGCGGGAAGAAGAACAGGGAAGAAGCGGCCUAUUCUCUGUUUGGAAUAACAGUUUGUCGAAGGUCGUUGGCGAGCAUCUUCCGUCGCGUAAUCGAAAAGUUGGAAAUAAAAGAGAGAGGAACGAAGAGAGAAGGAGUUUGUCGGAAGGUUCUUCUUUUUCUUUUUUCCUUCUCCUCCUCUCCCUUUCCCCUCACCCGUGGAAGACAAGUGGCCACUUUCUCUCUAUCCUCUCCUCAGGGGUCGGCGGAUGAAGGCAAAGUGGACGGCGAGCAACGCGGAACACCGGCUCUUUCGCUACGCGCCUCGCCCUUGAUUCAGAAGGACGGCCACGUGCACGACGACGGCGCGAGAUAAUCGGUAUCACGGGGAAUCACGUUCAUUUCCCCACCAACUACGGCCACAUGACUUGACGAUCGCCCCACCUACCGCUGUUCGUCGUUGAGCGAAAGCGGCGACAGUGGCAGCAACGUGACCGACGUGGGGAGGGCGAGCGCAUCACGACGACCACGACGACGAUCGGCGACACCAACAACGGCGACGACGACGACGACGACGACGACGACGACGACGACGGCGACGACGACGAGGAAGAAGGAAGAAGAACGGCGGAGGAGUAAGUCAUCGGUUACUACUCGCAAGGCUACUUAACGAGUGACAUAGGCCGUUGGUGGUUCAGUUAGCCGCGGACGGUCAACCCAGGUGCGAGAGUCGUUCGCGCUCUUUUAUCCUUUUUUCUUUUUCGUUAUCUCCCCCCUCCCUCUUCCGUUCUUUCUUUUCUCCCCCUUAUUCCACCUCUAUUUCGCCUUUUUUCUCGAACGACUUUUCGGGUGGGUAGAAAAAGAUUCGCCAAGAUUGGAUAGAUAGAUAGUUAGAUAGUUAGAUAGAUAGAUAGGUAGAUAAGUGUUGAUCGUGGUGACUGUGCUGGUGCCGUUGUUUGUUGUCGUUGUUCUUCGGCUCGGGAAGUAGCGGUUUUCAGUGUGGAUAGUGCGGAUAACAGUGACGAGUGUGAAACUGGAGCCGCAAGCGGUAGAAGCAGUUGCAGUCGAGAGCUAUCAUGUGCCCGCGGAGGAUCUUCGGACUGGCCAUCGUCGCGCUGGUGACUUUUGGUGGACGAGCGGCAGCCUAUACGAAUCAGUGGGCAGUGCAUAUCGAGGGGGGACCGGAUGUGGCCCAGCAGGUCGCGCGAGAGCAUGGAUUUCAAUAUCUCGAUAAGGUGAGCGAUGCUAACUCGACAAACUAAUGAAUUCUGAUUGCGGCUGGUCAAAGUUCCAUAAAAAUAGUGGACGAUUGGUACCACAUGGUGCACACGUCAGUCGUGAAGAGAUCAGCGGAACCGCAUUUCGGGGUGCAGGGGAGGCUAAUAGAGGACCGCAGAGUGCGUCGAGCUGAGCAACAACGGGUAAAAUCGAGAACGAAACGGGAUCUAAUUAUUAAACGCGGUCCGUCCAACCUGAGAACAGUUCUCAACGACGAGAUGUGGCCUCAGAUGUGGUACUUGAACAGGGGAAAGGGGUUAGAUAUGAACGUGCAGGAAGCUUGGGCUGAAGGAAUUACGGGACGCGGAGUCGUGGUCACGAUUCUUGAUGACGGAUUGGAGAAGAAUCAUCCGGAUCUUUAUAAGAACUACGACCCACAAGCCAGCUACGAUGUCAAUAACCAUGAUGAAGAUCCCAUGCCACGAUACGAUGUUCUAGACAGUAAUCGACAUGGCACCAGAUGCGCUGGUGAAGUGGCUGCAACUGCUAACAAUUCCUUGUGCGCGGUAGGAGUUGCAUUUGGAGCUGGCGUCGGGGGAGUGAGAAUGUUGGACGGGGACGUGACGGAUGCCGUGGAAGCAAGGUCUCUGAGCCUGAAUCCUCAACACAUCGAUAUUUAUAGUGCCUCAUGGGGACCUGACGACGAUGGAAAAACCGUCGAUGGUCCUGGCGAACUUGCCACUAGAGCUUUCAUCGAGGGGAUCACAAAGGGUCGCAACGGUAGAGGGUCGAUUUUCGUCUGGGCGUCGGGGAACGGCGGCAGGGAUCACGACAACUGCAACUGCGACGGUUACACGAACAGCAUCUGGACGUUGUCCAUCAGCAGCGCGACGGAGAACGGCCAGGUGCCUUGGUACAGCGAGGCGUGCUCGUCCACCCUGGCUACGACCUACAGUUCCGGUUCAUCGGGGGAGAAACAAGUGGUGACCACUGACCUGCAUCACCUUUGCACGACCAGCCACACGGGCACGUCUGCAUCGGCGCCCUUGGCAGCCGGUAUAUGCGCCCUCGCCCUCGAGGCCAACAGAGAUCUGACUUGGAGGGAUAUGCAACACAUCGUCGUGAGGACAGCGAAACCUGCCAAUCUGAAAGCUAUGGAUUGGGUGACCAAUGGUGUUGGACGAAACGUGAGCCACAGUUUUGGUUAUGGCUUAAUGGAUGCAGCUGCCAUGGUGCGGUUGGCCAAAAGAUGGCGAACAGUACCGGAACAACACAAAUGCGAGGUGUCAGCACCACACAUGGGCAGGCCAAUACCACCAAAGAGCCAGCUAACUCUGGAAUUGCACGUCAAGGAGUGUAGCGGCGUUAAUUUUCUCGAGCACGUGCAAGCAAAGGUUUCAUUGAUGGCGUCGAGAAGAGGGGAUCUUCAGAUACAACUAACAUCUCCACAAGGUACAAAGAGUACCCUUCUUGCAAAAAGGUCACACGACGUCUCGAAGGCUGGUUUCAAUCAAUGGCCAUUUAUGUCGGUUCACACUUGGGGAGAAAGGCCACACGGCACGUGGAAACUUGAAAUCCACAAUGAGGGUCGAUACCAAGGUCGCGCCACGCUUCACGAAUGGGCGUUGAUAUUUUACGGGACGUCGACGCUUCCCGAUCGCACGGAAUACGCGUUGUACAAUCCCGCCGGGAUGAACAUACCGAGAAGGCCAUUCGUCAAACCGCGCGAGACAGUGUUCUCCAAGGCUCAGAACUCUCUCACGAGCUCGAAGAUCAAGCAGAGCCAGCACAAGUCGGAGAAGCCGGGUAGUCUCAGCCCGCCUUACGUGGUGAACGCCCAGAUACAGUCGCAGAGGAAGAGCAAGGCGCGCGGCCAGCACAAAAAUGGCAAAUCGGCCAAUAAACCGACCCCGAAGCCGACCGUGCAGACGUUGAGGGGGUUGACCGUGGCGAGGGGGCCUAACGUCGCGGGGGAGGUACGCCUGAUCACGUCCAGGCCACGAGGGAGGAGCACACCAAGCCCUGUCACGACCACUGUCGCGCACCAAACCAGUCCGCCCACCGCUGUUCCAACCACAAAAGUGGCCAGCAGGCAAAGAAUCGUGGACGUGGCGACUGCCUCGUCCCUUCAGAGGGGUUUGAUCCUCUUGGAGCCACCAGCGAAACCUGCCAUCAACAACGUGCCAGCCAUUUUCCAACAGUAUCCCAAGAUUCAACAGCUCUAUCCAUUGUAUCCUGUCUAUCCCGGGGUUAGAGGAGCCGGCCAGCAACACGCGACCAGGGCCAAGGGGUUGGAAUUGCUGCAGGAUGAACAGUUCGAUUCGAAGAACUUGGAUAAGGACACCCUCGACGAGUUCAAGCUAGUGUUCUACGGCACGGAAACGUCGUUGGAAUUCGACGACGAGUUGGACAAGGACAAACCGUUGCCACCGGUGAACCAGCAGGACGUGAGCCAGGACAAUACGGCGAUAGGCGCGAGGCACAACGUGAUGGACACGGAGGGUGGUCCGUGGACAGGUAGCCAACAGGUGGAGCGCGUGUCCCAUCCGGAAGUGCAGAGGCCCACGACCGAGAACCAGACGAGCGGUUGCAGCGGCAUCGACACUGGAAAUGGCAGGUGCCUAGAGUGUAAGCCGAGCUGGUACUACCACGACGGAAUCUGCGUGCACAAGUGCCCUAGAGGAACUUACGGCGUUUCUGACGAGUCAAAGGCGGUUUGCUCCGGCUGCCAUUACUCCUGCCUAACUUGUUCAGGACCUUCGAACACCGAGUGCACCAGUUGCCACGAGGACGCCGAGUUUUCGUCGAGCCUCGACGAGUCCGUCUGCAUCCUACGCGACCUCACCUGGACCAUGCACUCCACCUUCUGGUUCUACCGGAUGACCAUUCUGUUCUCGACCAGCGUCCUUUUGUUCAUCGUGAUAAUCAUGUACGUGGGUGUCAAGUGGUAUCUAAAGAACAGAAAUUCGUACAGAUACAGCAAGGUGUACUCCUCGAGCAAUGGGGACGCGCGCAAGGACAAUUUGCAAAAUGGUUACAUCUCUGAUAGUGAAUAAAGAAAAUGAACAUUGAGAAGAGAGAAUAAUAUUGAACGAGUCAGAGAUAUUUCAAGAUUAUGGAUAAGAAUAUUUCGAUGGCAUGUGAUGUUUCGUUUAUGGUGUAAUUGAAUAGUUAUAAUUGUGAAGUUGAUAAGAGUUUGUAAGGAUGAUUCGAUUCGAGGAGAAAGGAGGAUUCCGUCCUUCCAGUUUGCCACGUUCCAAUUCACGUAUGUCAAGUAAAGAGUUGUUAAUGAUCUCCCAGUGAAUAUCGAGAGUGCAUUUACGUUGUGAUUUCACGAGGUUAUACGCAAAGUAUUUAAAGAAAAUUGUGGGAUUUUAAGAGCUUUUAGUACUCGUAGUAUGUUUAAGUUUUGAAAUCAAUUCGAUUCGAUUUUUUUGUUUCUUUUUUAUUAACGAGUACUAUAAGUUUUUAAAUUUUGAUACUCUUAUUUUUCUGACAUCCCGUCUUACCACGAAUGAAAUGAAGUAGAAUAGACUUAUUAUUAUUAGAAAUAAUCACACACAAUUUUAUAAUUUAUAUGUUAUCGAACUUGAUAUUUAAUCAAAUUAAAUCAUUCCACGUGCGUGUACGUAAGAUUUUCUUGGAAUUUUCUUUGGAAAUUCCAAGAUUCAUAAUUUAAGUUCGCCGUUACUUUUAAAUUGUGAAAAUUUGCAAAGAUUUACGAGAAUUUUAAAUACGUAAUAGAUAGUUCUUAAUACGUAAAUAGAGUAUAAGUUUAGAAUUUAAAAAUUGUAAAAAUUUACACAACAGGUUUUCUUAAUUUAAAUUAAAGCUUAAAGCUCGACGUUCGGAAUUGUCGGAAAUUUUAAUCGAGACACGGAUUGAGUUUAUCGAGUUUCGAUUUUCAGUUGAAUUAACAUUUAAUAAUUAAGUGUGCGUAGCCAUUAUUCGAUCAUCGUUAAGGGGAUAAACUAAAUUACACACAGCGUCUAGUGUAUCUUGUGCUCGUCGAUAAUCAAAAUUAAAAUUGCAUUAUAUUCUGCAACUAACUGUAACACAAUUUGCUGUCCGAGUUCCUAGACCGCACUAGAGCACAUUGUAAUUAAUUGAUACACCGGUCAAAUUGCUAUGUGAUACUAUUUAUAUAAAUUGCAUUAAACAUACGAGACGCAAAUAAAGUAUAAUAGCAUUUCCUAACGACCAAAGACUGUUGCACAACUGCUCAGUUAAGAGUGAAUCCUAGAUAUAUAAAAUCAAAAGUGAAUAUUAAAAUUAAU